CUGGUAAAUAACCCGCGCUCCAGAUUUAAGUUAGUAAUAAGUAAAAAAAAAACGAUUCGUUCUCACCCGAACGACGGACGCAACGCCCGGUCUCCGCCUGCCCCAAUCCCGACUCCAGGCCGUCGUCCCCAACACACCAUGAGGACGAAGAUGGCGGCGGCGCUGGUCCGGGCCUCCGAGGGGAUCGGACCUCCUACGCCUGCCCGAUCCUCCUACUUCUCCUCGCGCUGCUCCUCGCUGUCCCCGCUCGCGGCCACCUCCAACGCCUCCUCCCACGCCUACGCCUUCGCGGGCCGUCAGCCGGUGCCCGCCCCGGAUCCCACCUUCUUCGAUCGACAAGUACGGCUAGGACCCCGACGCCGAGGUCCGGGUUUGGCCGCUCGACGCCGAGGGCGCGCUCGUCGACGCCGUGCAGCGCUACGAGUUCCCCGCUCGCGUGGGGCCCCGCGGUGGCGCUGGCGCGGGCCUCCGACGGGGCCGUCGACUGGAGCCGCCCCGACGCCCCCGGGGUGGAGGAGGUGGUCGGGCCCGACGGGGUCGACUUCGUCACCGGCGAUGGCGACCUGGCGUUCUGCUCCGGCGUCAGGGCCCGUGACAUGGUAGGGCCGUUCGAGCUGGUGGUCUCCGAUGGCGCUGGCAGGGGCCGCGCAGAGCUCCAGUUGCCGUCGUGUCUGCACCACCGCCCGUUGAUUAGAAUGCAUGUUCCGGCAGUCCAGGCAUCGAUCACUGGCAAAUUAAAAAGGCAUGAACGCACUAAACAGAAAUUCUGUGUAGAUGAUUCUUGUAUAUGGCAGUGGCACACGCGCUGGUUGAUGAAGCCGCUGGGCCGGAAGGCCCUCUCAUUGCCAUGCUAAUGAGUAUCACGACGAACAUGGCCCCCACCUCAAUGCCUCCCUGUCGGCGGUGAGGUCUGGCCGGAUCUGUACAACCCGCAAUAUUAGUAAAGAAAAAGAAUAGCUUGAUUGUUCUAUGACUCUGUCGUGGAUAGGUAAUUUGCAUCCGAGGUCUAUAGGAUCUCCGCCAUUAGUUUCCCAUUAGAAAAUUGAGUUACUAAAGUAAGGAAGAUGUCCAAAGAGAGGUAAUCGAUGGCAUGAUAUGCAUCAGAAGAUCCUCAUCACUGAAGUAGUACUCCACCAGUCCACCUACAGUUUUGGAACAUAUAAACACGGCAUCAAAGUGCUACCUGGCACCAAAUAAAGAGUUCAGGUCAGGGUGUUAUACUGCAGCUAAGCAGUAUAGUCUGAAAUUCUAAGUUUGAGGAGGAUUUCAGUGUUUCUAAAGAAAGGGACAAGGAUCAGGGCUAUAAGAUUGUUGAAAGACUCAGAGACAUGUAUCAUGAAUCGGUUCCGCAAGCUGCGGCACACAUGGUCUGCCUCCGUGUCGUCCUACCUGCUUCAGGGCCCUCUACUUCUUCCCCCAAGAUUGCCAUUAUGAUUAACAAAUCUGACGAGAGCAAUUUAAUUGGUGACACAUCAUAUUUAUUCUGCAACUGCAUGUGAAUUCUCAUCUUGCGCCUACCUCUUUUGCUUACCAGUGAAGAUGGAGAGCUUUAGGCAAAAAAAGAAAUAAAAAAAACUAGCACGUGAUCUAUGGAGAAUAAUUUUGACAGCAACUCCAACUAUGCAAUGGAGUACACUUGAUGCGAUCAAUUCUGGUGUGUGUGUGUGUGUGAUGCAAUGACGCAUGAAUAACGACAGAAAAAUAUGCCUGAGGAGUAUGGGUUGCACAGAGGAGUAUAAGGAUUUCUUCAUCGGGCCAGUCCACGUGGAAGAUGUCGCGUUAGCCCAUAUCACGCUGUUUGAAAACCCGGCUGCAUCCGGGAGGCACCUCUGUGUGGAGCCCAUAUGUCACUUGAGCGAUUUCGCGUCCCAAGUCGCGGAGCUCUACCCCGACUACGAAGUCCCGAAAUUACCUGAGGACACGCAGCCUGGGCUGGUGAGAGCGGAGGCGGUGCCGAAGAGAAGCUGAUGGCACUGGGCCUGCAUUUCACUCCUUUGGAAAAGAUCAUCAAGGAUGCGGUGGAGAGCCUUCGGAGAAGAGGAUGCAUCGCCUGAUGGCUGGAUUAUUAGCUGUACCAUAUUCCUUCCCUUCUGUUGUAGGGUCAUGAUCAACCCUUGCUCCAGAGAUGUGUUGUGCCCAGCCCAGUGCUAGACCUUAUAGUUGCCUGUAUGAUUGUGCAAUAACGGCUGGUUGAUCUACUGGUACACCUGUCUGUUCUUGCUAGAUUCUUCCAAGAAGUCCUUGGGUGUUGCAAGGAAGAUCACAACUAUGAAUAAUUGUCCAGGAUAAGUGAAGAAAACAGUACUCUUGAAAUAGAACGAAUAAUCCAUUCACAAAA